rnacentral:rRNA from 1 species
AGUCGAGCGGAAACGAGUUAACUGAACCUUCGGGGAACGAUAACGGCGUCGAGCGGGGGACGGGUGAGUAAUGCCUAGGAAAUUGCCCUGAUGUGGGGGAUAACCAUUGGAAACGAUGGCUAAUACCGCAUGAUGCCUACGGGCCAAAGAGGGGGACCUUCGGGCCUCUCGCGUCAGGAUAUGCCUAGGUGGGAUUAGCUAGUUGGUGAGGUAAGGGCUCACCAAGGCGACGAUCCCUAGCUGGUCUGAGAGGAUGAUCAGCCACACUGGAACUGAGACACGGUCCAGACUCCUACGGGAGGCAGCAGUGGGGAAUAUUGCACAAUGGGCGCAAGCCUGAUGCAGCCAUGCCGCGUGUGUGAAGAAGGCCUUCGGGUUGUAAAGCACUUUCAGUCGUGAGGAAGGCGGUGUCGUUAAUAGCGGCAUCGUUUGACGUUAGCGACAGAAGAAGCACCGGCUAACUCCGUGCCAGCAGCCGCGGUAAUACGGAGGGUGCGAGCGUUAAUCGGAAUUACUGGGCGUAAAGCGCAUGCAGGUGGUUUGUUAAGUCAGAUGUGAAAGCCCGGGGCUCAACCUCGGAAUAGCAUUUGAAACUGGCAGACUAGAGUACUGUAGAGGGGGGUAGAAUUUCAGGUGUAGCGGUGAAAUGCGUAGAGAUCUGAAGGAAUACCGGUGGCGAAGGCGGCCCCCUGGACAGAUACUGACACUCAGAUGCGAAAGCGUGGGGGAGCAAACAGGAUUAGAUACCCUGGUAGUCACGCCGUAAACGAUGUCUACUUGGAGGUUGUGCCUUGAGCCGUGCUUUCGGAGCUUACGCGUUAGUAGACCGCUUGGAGUACGGUCGCAGAUUAAAACUCAAUGAUUGACGGGCCGCACAGCGGUGGAGCAUGGGGUUAUUCGAUGCACGCGAGACCUACCUACUCUGACUCAAAGACCUUCCAGUUGAAUGU